GUAGUGCUUCUGGGCAGUAGAGGCGCGGGGUGCGGAGCUAGGGCGGCCGAGAGCCAUGGCGGCGGUAGUGGCGGCGGCGGCAGCGCGAGCCCGGAUCCUGCAGGUUUCUUCCAAGGUGAAAUCCAAUUCCACCUGGUAUUCAGCAUCUUCCUUCUCUUCUUCAGUGCCAACUGUAAAGCUCUUCAUUGAUGGGAAAUUUGUUGAAUCCAAAAGUGACAAAUGGAUUGAUAUCCACAACCCAGCCACCAAUGAGGUCAUUGGUCGGGUCCCUCAGGCCACCAAGGCAGAAAUGGAUGCAGCCAUUGCUUCCUGCAAACGUGCUUUUCCUGCAUGGGCAGACACUUCAGUAUUAAGCCGCCAGCAGGUCUUGCUCCGCUAUCAACAACUUAUUAAAGAAAACUUGAAAGAAAUUGCCAAGUUAAUCACAUUGGAACAAGGGAAGACCCUAGCUGAUGCUGAAGGAGAUGUAUUUCGAGGCCUUCAGAAUCUCACUUUGCAGAAACUCUUAACUUGGAAGGGCAAGUCGGUGUACCCUGCGCCCCUUCAUUGGCCUGAGCCACUUCCUGUCCUCAGGGCUGAAGAGAACAGGACAAAGCUAACUAGUACACAGUGUAGAGAGCUGAUGGCCUGACUUCUGUAUUCCAGAGGUGGUUGAGCAUGCCUGUAGUGUGACAUCCCUCAUGAUGGGAGAGACCAUGCCAUCCAUCACCAAAGACAUGGACCUUUAUUCCUACCGUCUGCCUCUGGGAGUGUGUGCAGGCAUUGCUCCAUUCAAUUUUCCUGCCAUGAUCCCCCUUUGGAUGUUUCCCAUGGCCAUGGUGUGUGGAAAUACCUUCCUAAUGAAACCAUCUGAGCGAGUCCCUGGAGCAACUAUGCUUCUUGCUAAGUUGCUCCAGGAUUCUGGUGCCCCUGAUGGAACAUUAAACAUCAUCCAUGGACAACAUGAAGCUGUAAAUUUUAUUUGCGAUCAUCCGGACAUCAAAGCAAUCAGCUUUGUGGGAUCCAACAAGGCAGGAGAGUAUAUCUUCGAGAGAGGAUCAAGACAUGGCAAGAGGGUUCAAGCCAAUAUGGGAGCCAAGAACCAUGGGGUAGUCAUGCCAGAUGCCAAUAAGGAAAAUACCCUGAACCAGCUGGUUGGGGCAGCAUUUGGAGCUGCUGGUCAGCGCUGCAUGGCUCUUUCAACAGCAGUCCUUGUGGGAGAAGCCAGGAAGUGGCUGCCAGAGCUGGUGGAGCGUGCCAAAAACCUGAGAGUCAAUGCAGGAGAUCAGCCUGGAGCUGAUCUUGGCCCUCUGAUCACUCCCCAGGCCAAAGAGCGAGUCUGUAAUCUGAUCGAUAGUGGAACAAAGGAGGGAGCUUCCAUCCUUCUUGAUGGACGAAAAAUUAAAGUGAAAGGCUAUGAAAAUGGCAACUUUGUUGGACCAACCAUCAUCUCGAAUGUCAAGCCAAAUAUGACCUGUUACAAAGAGGAGAUUUUUGGUCCGGUUCUUGUGGUUCUGGAGACAGAAACAUUGGAUGAAGCCAUCCAGAUUGUAAAUAACAACCCAUAUGGAAAUGGAACUGCCAUCUUCACCACCAAUGGAGCCACUGCUCGGAAAUAUGCCCACUUGGUGGAUGUCGGACAGGUGGGAGUGAAUGUCCCCAUUCCAGUGCCUUUGCCAAUGUUCUCAUUCACCGGUUCUCGAUCCUCCUUCAGGGGAGACACCAAUUUCUAUGGCAAACAGGGCAUCCAAUUCUACACUCAGUUAAAGACCAUUACUUCUCAGUGGAAAGAAGAAGAUGCUACUCUUUCCUCACCUGCUGUUGUCAUGCCUACCAUGGGCCGUUAGAAACAAGUUUGUUUAAGACUGACUCUAUCCUGAGUAAUCUCCCUUUAUUUUUGACCAGCUUCAUUUGUCAGCUUUGCUCAGAUCAGAUCUAUGGGAUUGGAAUACACUGUAACUAAAAUCUUCCUCAGGACUAUUACCCCUGCAAAGUUACUAUAGGGAACUGCCUAGUGUAACAAUGAAACCAGAUUUCUCACUUGCUCUUCAUACUUCUAUUUUUGAGGUAACUGUUGUAACUAUGAAAUGCUUAUCUGAAAUUAGUGCUUAACCGGAUUUCUAAAAAUUAUCCCCUUUUCUGAUGAUUUGAAGGGGAGAAAAGCCAGUGUAUGUAAAGAAAAUGUUCCGGCCAGGCAUGGUGGCUCACACCUGUAAUUCCAUCAUUUUGGGAGGCCAUGGU
rnacentral:sRNA from 1 species